rnacentral:rRNA from 1 species
AUUGAACGCUGGCGGAAUGCUUUACACAUGCAAGUCGAACGGCAGCACGGGGCAACCUGGUGGCGAGUGGCGAACGGGUGAGUAAUACAUCGGAACGUGCCCAAUCGUGGGGGGAUAACGUAGCGAAAGUUACGCUAAUACCGCAUACGAUCUACGGAUGAAAGCGGGGGAUCGCAAGACCUCGCGCGAAUGGAGCGGCCGAUGUCAGAUUAGGUAGUUGGUGGGGUAAAGGCUCACCAAGCCAACGAUCUGUAGCUGGUCUGAGAGGACGACCAGCCACACUGGAACUGAGACACGGUCCAGACUCCUACGGGAGGCAGCAGUGGGGAAUUUGGACAAUGGGCGCAAGCCUGAUCCAGCCAUUCCGCGUGCAGGAUGAAGGCCUUCGGGUUGUAAACUGCUUUUGUACGGAACGAAACGGUCUGCCCUAAUACGGCGGGCUAAUGACGGUACCGUAAGAAUAAGCACCGGCUAACUACGUGCCAGCAGCCGCGGUAAACUCGUCUA